GAGUGCGCGUGCCGUAGCAAUACGGUAUGGCGCACGGCGCACGGGUGCGUAACACGUGGGCAAUCUGCCCUCCGGUGGGGAAUAACCCCGCGAAAGCGGGGCUAAUUCCGCAUAACAUUCUCUGGACCCUGGUUCGGGGAUUCAAAGCAGCAAUGCGCCGGAGGAGGAGCCCGCGCCCGAUUAGCUAGUUGGUGAGGUAACGGCUCACCAAGGCGAUGAUCGGUAGCUGGUCUGAGAGGAUGGCCAGCCACACUGGAACUGAGACACGGUCCAGACUCCUACGGGAGGCAGCAGUGGGGAAUCUUGCGCAAUGGGCGAAAGCCUGACGCAGCGACGCCGCGUGGGGGAUGAAGCUUCUCGGAGUGUAAACCCCUUUCGACCGGGACGAAUGCCCGCAAGGGAGUGACGGUACCGGUAGAAGAAGCCCCGGCUAACUACGUG
rnacentral:rRNA from 1 species